CCUACGGGAGGCAGCAGUAGGGAAUAUUGCUCAAUGGGGGAAACCCUGAAGCAGCAACGCCGCGUGGAGGAUGAAGGUUUUCGGAUUGUAAACUCCUUUUGUUAGAGAAGAUAAUGACGGUAUCUAACGAAUAAGCACCGGCUAACUCCGUGCCAGCAGCCGCGGUAAUACGGAGGGUGCAAGCGUUACUCGGAAUCACUGGGCGUAAAGCGCGCGUAGGCGGGAUAGCAAGUCAGAUGUGAAAUCCUAUGGCUUAACCAUAGAACUGCAUUUGAAACUGGUAGUCUGGAGUAUAGGAGAGGUAGGCGGAAUUCUUGGUGUAGGGGUAAAAUCCGUAGAGAUCAAGAGGAACACUCAUUGCGAAGGCGACCUGCUAGAACAUAACUGACGCUGAUGCGCGAAAGCGUGGGGAGCAAACAGGAUUAGAUACCCCAGUAGUC
rnacentral:rRNA from 1 species